UACGGAGGGGACUAGCGUUGUUCGGAAUUACUGGGCGUAAAGCGCGCGUAGGCGGACCUGCAAGUCGGGGGUGAAAGCCCGAGGCUUAACCUCGGAACUGCCUUCGAUACUGCGGGUCUCGAGUCCGGGAGAGGUGAGUGGAAUUCCUAGUGUAGAGGUGAAAUUCGUAGAUAUUAGGAAGAACACCAGUGGCGAAGGCGGCUCACUGGCCCGGUACUGACGCUGAGGCGCGAAAGCGUGGGGAGCGAACAGG
rnacentral:rRNA from 1 species